AGAGGAUGGAAUGCUUCACCAGGAGACACAAGAAUAAUUUCCUUGACCUGGGAGUUAAGACUGCCACCCAGCCACCUUGUGCUCUCCAUGCUGCUGAUUCAACAGGCAAAUAAGGAAGUUAUGGUGUGGGCUACAGUGAUUGAUCUGACUAACAAGAGGGAAAUUGCUCCACCAUGGGGGUGAGGGAGAGUACAUCUGGAAUACAGAAGUUCCCUUAGGACACCCUUAGUGUUCCCACACAUUGCGAUUAAGGCCAGUGGAAAACUACAAUAACUCAGUUCAGGCGGAACAACUCAUGGGGCAGAAUCUUCAAGGAAUGAAGAUUUGAGUCCUUCUACCAGGUUUUGCAGAGUGCCUCCAGAAAUAAAAGUGUUACAAAAGAAUCACUUCAGAAAACCUACACUUAGAGAGUCCAUUUGAAAAUUGCCCUAUUUGAAAUGAAGUGGAGAUCAGUAAUAACAAGGACUUCCCCAUAUAACCCAAGGUCCUACUGGGUUAGUGUGAUCUUCUGCGGAAGGCUGCAGCUGCUGUCAGGAGGCCCUCUGUCUACACUCCUCUCUGGAGAAGUGUAAGUGUUUUGUCAGGUAAAUACUUCGUCACUCUCCAGCGUAGCAGUGAGAAUCAUCCCUCCUAUCUCUAGCAUCAGAGUCCCUCCUAUUGUUUCUAACCACCCACCCCCCGUAUCCUUGUAAAUAAUCUCUUUAUUAAAUUGUCUGCAAAUUACUUCAUUUUAAUGUGCUGUCCAUUUCCUUUUGGGACCCUGGCUGAUAUUGAUACUGAUGUUGGGUAAUUACUGAUUAUUGAUACUGAUAGUUGACACUGAUACCGAUAAUAAUUAUUAUUAAUAGCUAAUAUCCAUAAUUUGAUACUGAUUAUCAGAAAAGGAUACUGACACUCUAGGAUAUUAGCAGGAUCAGUAAAUACUGACACUGAUACUGAUAUUAAUACUGGCUGCUACUGCUAGGUAAUUACUAGGUCUGUCUAUCAAUCUAUCCAUCUAUCUAGGAUGUUCUCACUCUUGUAAAUAUCUCUAUAAAGCCUUGUCAAACAGAAAAAGGAGACAAUGUGAAAGGGUCUUGUGUACAUUUAGUCUCUAUUCAUCUAUUACAAGUUUCCUUUCUAAACCAAAUAGUUCUAUAUUGUUUUGGAGACUAUCUAACCCUCAUUAAUUAGCUGUUUUAUUUCUAUUUCUUUAUUGCUCAUAUAUAACAAUAGGAAAACUUGGUUAGUCAGUUAAUUAACAAAUAUUUAGUAAUGUAUAUUAUUAUAUGACUUGAGACAUGAUAAACAUGUUCUAAAAGUGUGGAACACAACAUUUGAUAAGAAAGGCAGAAUCUCCAUCUUCAAAGAGAUUGCAUUAUAGUGGAAAGAGCCAGACAAUAUAUAAAUAUAUAAACCAAGAAAUAAGAUCAUUAAGGUACUGAUAAGUGUUAUGAAGAAGAUGAAACGGGGUGAUUUUGACAGACAUUGACUGUAACAGGACCAGUUGUUUUAGAGAGCAUCAGAGCAGCUCUUCAUGAGGAGGAGCAUCAGAGAAGCUCUUCAUGAGGAGGAGCCUCAUGAAGGUGAAACCUAAAUGAUGAGAAGCCAGCUAUGUAAGAGGAGCAUUUGACACAGAAGGAACCAUAAGUACAAAUGUAAUGAGAUGAGAAAUUUCUUUGGUAUGUUGAAGACAUCAGGACAGGUGAGUAGCAUGCACCUGUGUCCCAGCUACACCAGAGGCUGAGGCAGGAGGAUUGUGUGAGCCCAGGAGCUUGAGGAUGCAGUGAGUUAUGACCAUAGCACUGCACUCCAUCCUUUUGUGAUGUCUUUUUUUUUUUAAGAAACGUCACUGUGUUCCGGGUGACAGAGCAAGAUGACAUUUCUGAAAAAAAAAUGGGGGGACAUCACAAAAGACCAUGGAUAAAACUAAGUAAACCAGAGAAACAAGAAGGAAGAGAGAGAGAUGAAUUGGGUGCAUUGGCAAAGCCAGAUAAUGUUAGAAUGACCAGGCCAUGGGAAGAGUCAGGUUCAAAACAUACUUAGAAGCCACUGGAGACUUUUAAAUGGGCAUAGGAGGAUCUGAUUUGUAGUUUAGAAUGAUUUCUCUGGCUGCUGCGUGUAGAACAGAUCCUAUGUAAGGGAGCAAAUGUGGAGGCAGAAAAGCUACUGCAGAGGUGAUAACAUUAGCUAAAAGAUCACAGUAUCUGGGGAAAGGGUGGUUGCGGUAGAGAGAGUAAAAAGUAGUUGGUUUCAGAAUACAUUUUAAUGGAAAUGGAAUAGCAGACUGAUGAUUGGAUAAUGGGAAUUGAGGGAAAUCAAGGAAUCCAGAAUGACUUGUAAAUUUUUGUUCUAAGAAAUUGAGUGGAUAAUGAUGGCAUUUACUUAAAUAGCAAAUACUUGUGGAGGUAAAUUCUGGAUAUGUGGGGCAACCAAGGGUUUUGUUGAUGCCAUGUAAACUUUGGCAUGCCAAUUAGAUACGAAGAGAUACUGAGUGGAAAGCUGGAUACUCAGGGGACCACAGUCUUCUGUUUCCUGGAUUUCAGGUCCCUUUUAAACUGAAGCAUAGUGAGAACAAGUGUAAAGCACAACACAGACGGAAGAUUGCACCUUAGCUCACUGCCCCGUGCACCCCGGUUACACCGUCUAAGAAAACACUCUGGAUUCAAUCCUUGGAAAAGUAGUUUGUCUCCAUGAGGUCAUACAGCUGCUUGAGGUUGCUCGGAGAGUAAGAAGCAGAAUGAGAACUAGAACAGAAGCUCACUUUGGCCUGAAGGCUCAUGUGCUGAGCAUCUUCCCUUGUCUGUCUCCACCCCUAGCCUGGUGCCCAGCAUGUAGAAGACCUUCAUCCUAGAUGCAAUGGGAUUAAACUUGGAGAAAAUGGGAUUAAACUUGGACAAACACUACCUAUUUGGACUUGUGAUGAUGGCUUUCAAACUUCUUAAAGCAAUGAAGUAUUUUUUCCAGAAGAAACCUUACACAAGAAGCCCAGCACACUGAGUCAAGCAUAUGUAGGUGGAAGAUAUCUGGUUGAGACCAAGUAGAGAUAAACCUGUAGAUUCAACUGUGCCACCACAGUGAAUUCUAAGAAUCCACUGACUGUGAUCUGUAAGCUCCUACUCCACAGGAGGUCAGGGCACACAGCUUGAAACCGGAAGGCAGAAGAGUGACAGGGAAGGGUCAUGGACUCUGAAAUUAGAGCUAUCUGUGUUUUAAUACUAGUUCCAAUAGGCACAUGGUCUUGGAUAAAUGGUUUAAAUUAUCUGAGUCUCAAUUUCUUUCUCUGCAAAAAGGGAUGAUUAGUACAUAUGUAAUAGGGUUUUUAUAGAAAAUUGUAUAACUUGUUAAACACACAUGUACUAAGUGCUUGGUGCCCAGUAUGCACUGAAUAAAUGCUAGCUCCUUGCCUUUCAUCUCUAUGACCCUUCCCAAAUCUCUCAGCCCCAUAUUGCUUCAUGUAGUGUGUGUAUAUUUGGGAAAAUUUGUGUGCAUAUUUACAGAUGGGAUCCUACUCUUCUAUUGACAGACUGUCUUUUCAGAUGUGCCUUACUUUCAUUGCAUUGGUUUUUCAACUGAAAGUGAACAUAAAGGUUUUAAGCAUGCCUAGGUCUUAUCUUUUUGGUCAAAUAUCUAACACCCUCAAUAACAGUUGUAAAUCAUUCUUUUGUAAUUUGAUCAUUCAUUUUUAUAAAGUAAAACACAACUGCCCACUGUAAAAAUAGACUUCAUUUGCUCUUUUCUUCCAGUGCAGCAAAUGACAGACACUUUAAGAACACACAUUUAACUUCAGCAAACAAAUCAUGUAUAUUUUAGACAUAACUGUCAAGUAUAGAAAUGAUACCAUCCAACUUACCAAACUAUCACAUAAGAAUGCCCAAUAGCAGACAUUAGGAUGGGGCAAAACUGAAAGAAGGAUUGACUUCAUCAAACCCUUGAUGACAUACAAAAUGGAAACCAUUCAAGUUCAACUGAAGAAAACGAUAUCCCACAAGAUCUAGGGGUAAAAAGCAGACAAAGUUUAGGAAUGAAUUUAAACUACUGACUUACGUGUUGUCAGGAGUCUAUUUCUAUUCCUCAAUUUUACUCCUUUUUGUACAACUGUGUGCAUUCUCUCUCUGACUCUCUCUUCCUCCCUCCCAACACCCCCCACCCUCUUCUUGUUGCUGUUUCUCUCUAUUUCUUCAGAUCAAAGGGUUGAUCUCUUCCAAAUGUACAUAUUACAGAUCCACACUCUUAGAAAAACAACAGAAUCUCUCUAGUGCUUAAUUUAAUUUGUCCAUCUAAAAGAUAUUACUUGGCCCAAUUUGACCAAGCACCAUCUACUGGACCAAAUAAUGGUGGCCAGAGAAGCAUGGUCACAAUGGGGAAUGGGAAUAAGAUGGGGAUCAUAUGGGGACUAAGAAUGGGCAAGAACAUCUCCCAGAGUGGUAAGAGAAACAAUCUAAUGGGCAUAUAUUCCCAGUGUCCUCAAAUACUCCUCUACCCUAAAUUGCUUGCUCUGCUCUUGGGCCUUUGGAUGUGCUGACCUGAGUAGUGGUAACAAGUUCAGAAUUGUAGGGAAAGGGCUAUGAGUUUAUAUUUUAAGGGCAGAGAGUGGCAUUUAUGCAGUGGAAACACAUGGAAGAUGAGUAGGAUUGUGAAGGAUAAACUUGGGAAAAGAACAAUGACCUGAAGAGUACUAAUAAAUGCAGGGAUGGGUGACCAGAAAGAAAGGAUAGAUAGGAGGAAAAUCUUAGAGUAAAACUGGCAAAAGUUCACGGCCAGUUUAGUUAAUGGAAUCAAGGACAGUGAAAACGCAAUGAUAACUUCAGUGUUCUGGUUCUGAUGACCAAAGAAGGUCAUCAUUGUGAUGGAUAUUUUCUCUUAUUUCAUAACCUCUGCUCUAUGCUCUGUGUGAUUCCUCUCCUUCCAUUCAACUUGCCUUGCAUUUUCCGGAGUCUACUCCUUGGCUAAAUAGGGUCCUUCUUUCUCAGUAGCCCUUACUACCGAAUUAAAUCAUGGUGCCAGGGCUCAUUCUGCUUUGUUUCUGGAAACCUGCCAAGCAUGCUCCUGCCUUGGGGGCUUGCACUGAUUCGUUGCUCCAUAUUGAAAUGUUAUUUGCAUGGUCACCUGUGGCCCUGAUAUGGUUUGGCUGUGUCCCCA
rnacentral:lncRNA from 1 species